rnacentral:rRNA from 1 species
GACGAACGCUGGCGGCGUGCCUAACACAUGCAAGUAGGACGCAGUUGCGAACGGAAGAGCAACGAGAAGGUAACUACCUAUUAGAGGGGGAUAACUACUGGAAACGAUAGCUAAUACCGCAUACUAGUAGAUGGAACUGUGUUGUAUUAGAAAGUAGGUAGGGUAAUGGCCUACCUAUGCAACGCUACAUAGCCGACGUUGGUGGGUGAUCGGCCAAACCGGGACUGUGACCCGGCCCCGACUUCUACGGGAGGCAGCAGUAGGGAAUCUUCGGCAAUGGGGGGAACCCUGACCGAGCAACGCCGCGUGCGUUAAGAAGGUUUUCGGAUCGUAAAGCGCUGUUGUUAAGGAUGCGUUACUUAACCAGAAAGGGACGGCUAACUACGUGACAGCAGCCGCGGUAAUUC